rnacentral:lncRNA from 1 species
CUCGUGCUCUUUCCAGUGGCGGCCUGGUAGCCGUGGCGAGGCGGCCCCUGGCGGUGAUCGCUGCUGCUCAUUGUGGGCGAUCAGGAACCGGCGGUGGAAGGGUUUGGGUAACGGUUGGGGCGAGAAAGAAGGAAGCGGCGUGCCGUACGACGGCGGCUGUUGCAGCUACAGGUGGCUAUCGGGCCGGGCCGGAUCGGGAUAAACGGGCCUGGCCCGGGCACGGCUCAUGAAGCCCAGCAAUAGAGGGGCCGGGCCGGCCCGAAAACAUAACCUCCAUGCCCAGGCUUGGCACCGAGCCCGGCCAGGCCGGCUUGGGCCCGUUUAGGCCCCAUGGGCCUACCUGGGCACAUGGGCCAGAUUAUUGAAAAAGAACAAAAGACAUGUUGGGUUAGGCCAGAUUAAAAAAGAAGGAAAAAUAAGGUGUGCUGGGCCAAAAUAAGAAAAAUGGUGGGGAAAAAUGGUGGGCUAGGCCAGAAUUAAGAAGGCUAAUGGGUCAAAUGUGUAAUCCUAAAAAAUAAAAAAUAUAAACGGCCUGUGCCGGGCCGGCCCGAGGGCCUGAGGCUGAAGCCCAGGCACGGCACGGACGGAGCCCGGCUCGAUUAAUUAUGUGCCGGUGUGCCGGGCCGGGCACAAACAGGCCAAGCUCGCCGGGUUACCGGGCUUUUCAAAAAAGCUCGGCCCUAUAGUCACCUAUAGUUGCGGCUGAUUUGGUGGGAUUUCGUUACUUCUUGACCUCUACUGCUAAACACACAGUUUACCCAUCACAAACCGUGCACUCAUUGUGAGCUGUCCGAUCAAUCUCUAUCAACGUUCCAGAUUGUCCCUCACCCCACACACAACAGUGAACGAAAAAACUACCCCCACCCAAAAAAAGAACCAAAUCCCGCACACUCCUCUUCGUCCAUGCUGCCGCCUCCUCUCAUCUCGAUCACCUCCUCCGCCAC